rnacentral:lncRNA from 1 species
CAAAUGGGCCAGCAGCUUGAUCGCGAUGGCGGUCUCCGACUCCAAGGUUUUUCCACACGAGAUUGACGAAUCAGCCGCACGAGCAGAUUUUCGAAUGCCACCCUUUUUGUCUGCAGCUUUGUGUACCGGUAACGAAAAUUCAGAACGAGAGAGGAAUUCCUUUUUCAAUUUUUUGGUCGCUUUUUGUCCCCUCCACCCUC